AGCCCCGCUCGAUUUAAACUAGUGGCACUGUAAAGGCUUUAUCCACUUUAGUCACUGCCCGCCGCGGGCAAUCAUUCUAUUGCUGCAUUAUCGUAUCAUGAAUGAGACGGUAAGAAAAGUAGCCCGAAUCCAGUGUCAUGAGCUCCCCUUAAAUAUAUCGAACGCUGUUUACGCCCGGAUGACGAUACUUUUGAUUAUGCGUAUCCCUUAUAGGUACCCCUCUACGACUGGAACAUCGACGCCCGUUUUUCACAUCGCCCUAAGGACUCUCUCGUAAUCGCUGAUGAUCCCUGGGUUGUCUGUCGGCCUCAGACUUUCCCCACAAAUGACAAAGUCCAACAUUUCGAAACUGCAAAAUUGGUUAAAUUAAUCAGGCCGUCUGUAGGAAGAAAUGAGGUUCCACAAGGAGGAACCGGGGAAAGCUCAUUUCAGAAGAAUCCGGAUUUGGCACAAGAAGUACGUACGCGAUGACACGUCGCACGAGUUGACUUUAAGCACUUAAAUAUUG